rnacentral:lncRNA from 1 species
AGCUGGGUGUGGUGGUGCGCACCUGUAGUCCCAGCUACUCGGGAGGCUGAGGCAGGGGAAUCGCUUGAACCCGGGAGUUGGAAGUUGCAGUGAGCCGAGAUGGAGCCACUGCACUCCAGGCUGGGCGACAGAGCGAGACUCUGUCUCAAAAAAAAAAAGAAAGAAAAAAAAGAGUAAGCAGGAGUUCACAAGGUGUGGGAGACUGCUGUGUGUUCACCAAGCCUCAUCUUUCACACCUGGGCACAUGUUGUAGCCCGUUUGCAAAGAUAGCCGUAAUAUUCUCCUGUCCCUGGACAUGCCCUUUGCAAGUUGAUUUUGCCAUUCCUCCCAUUGAGAAGGCACUUUGUCCCCUACUAGUCUGGGUAAGCCUUGAGAGUUGCUUUGACCAAUAGAAUUUGCUAGAAGUGAUAUUGAGCCUAGGCCUGAAGAGGCCUUGUAGCUUCCACUCCUGCCCUAAGACUGUUGCAUGAAGAUACCCAGACUAGUGUCUUUGCAGAUGAACAAUCAUGGUGAAAGAGAAGCCCAGCCGGCAGCCAGCACCAAUCGCCAGCUGUGUGAGUGUGGCCAUCCUGGAUCAUCCAGCCCCAGCUGCCCCACCAGCUGACAGCAGCCACACAAGUGACCCCAGUUGAGACCAAUAAAAGAUCUGCCCAUCUGAUACAGCCCAAACUGCUGAACCCCAGAAUCAUGAACAAAUAAGUAAAAGAAAAGAACACUGGUUGUAUUUUAUGGUUGCACUAUGUCCAGCAGAAAAAGGCAUUCCUCAGUCUCCUUGCAGCAAGGUAAAGCCAUCUGAUAAAAUUUUGUCCAGUUGGAUAUAAGCCAAAAUGUUGCGUGACAAUUUUGGGAGGACUUCCUGAAACAGGUGGACAAACCCUUUUUCUACUGAGUCACCUUUGUGCCACCUGGAACUAACAGUGUGACGCGUGGAAUUUAGGCAGCCAUAUUGAACCAUGAGGACAAGAGCAGUGGGGAUGGCGGAACCAAGAGCUGGAAGGUGCCUGAGUCUCUGGUGAAGAUGUGGAGCUGCUGUAACAGCCCUCAACUCCUAGUUCUGGACUUCUUUUAUGUUUUAGUGUAACGCUUUGGGUAUUUUUAUUUUUUUAAUUUAUUUUAGAGAUGAGGUCUCACUAUGUUGCCUAGGCUGGACUCAAACUCUUAUGCUCAAGCAGUCCUCCUGCCUCAGCUUCAUGAGUAGCUGAAACUAUAGCACUUUGGGUAUUUCAGCCACUGUUUGAGGUUUUUCUAGCACCUCCUGGAAUAUCAAGCUUAACAUGUCCAAUCCUUGCCCCAGAUAUUUUCCUCCCCAAAUUUUCUCAAUCUCAAUAAAUGUCACCACCAUCCACCUGGUUGCUCAGGUCAAAAACCUAGAAAUCAUUCAAGUUCUCUCCCUUUCCCUCAUCCCCAAUAUCCAUUCCAUCAGCAACAUCUGUCCAUUCUACCUCCAAGACAUAUCCCAGAUCUCAUCACCUUUGUCUGCCUCUCCUACCCUCACUCUCAUCCAGCAUCAUCCCUCACCUGGACUCUGCAAAAGCCUACUCGUGGGUCUGUCUGCAUCCCUGUCUGCCUCCUCCAGGGCCAUUCUCCACCCAGUGGCCGGAUCGAUUUUUCAAAGAGGUAAAUCAGAUCAAUUCACCUUUCUGCUUAAAACCCUCCGAGGGCUGCCCGUAACAUGUAGAAUAAAAUAGAGACCCCUUCCCGGGGACUUCAAGGUGCUAUAUGGCCUGGCCCCUUGCUGACCUUACUUCACUCUGGGCUCGCUAGCCUUGCUGUCCCUCAAACAUGCUGAGCUCGCUCCCACCACAGGGCCUUUUCCCUUUUCUUCCUUCUGCCUGGAAUGUUCUUCUCCCCACCUCCCAAGCCCCAUCUUCCC